GUGGGGAAUAUUGCGCAAUGGGGGAAACCCUGACGCAGCAAUACCGCGUGAGUGAAGAAGGUUUUCGGAUCGUAAAACUCUUUUAUUGGGGAAGAAGAAGUGACGGUACCCAAUGAAGAAGUCCCGGCUAACUACGUGCCAGCAGCCGCGGUAAUACGUAGGGGACAAGCGUUGUCCGGAAUCACUGGGCGUAAAGGGCGCGUAGGCGGUUUUAUAAGUCAGAUGUGAAAGGUACCGGCUCAACCGGUGACGUGCAUUUGAAACUGUAAGACUUGAGUACUGGAGAGGCAAGUGGAAUUCCUAGUGUAGCGGUGAAAUGCGUAGAUAUUAGGAGGAACACCGGUGGCGAAGGCGGCUUGCUAGACAGAUACUGACGCUGAGGUGCGAAAGCGUGGGGAGCGAACAGGAUUAGAUACCCGUGUAGUCC
rnacentral:rRNA from 1 species